UACGGAGGGUGCAAGCGUUAUCCGGAUUCACUGGGUUUAAAGGGUGCGUAGGUGGGUUGGUAAGUCAGUGGUGAAAUCUCCGAGCUUAACUUGGAACUGCCGUUGAUACUAUUAAUCUUGAAUAUCGCGUAGGUAAGCGGAAUAUGUCAUGUAGCGGUGAAAUGCUUAGAUAUGACAUAGAACACCAAUUGCGAAGGCAGCUUACUUCACGAUCAUUGACACUGAGGCACGAAAGCGUGGGGAGCAAACAGG
rnacentral:rRNA from 1 species